ensembl:lncRNA
GUUGGACAGAUGCACAGGACAGGCAGUGGCAGCACAAGGGGAGCUGUGAGUAAGCCGUGGAGAUGCGUCAGCAGAAGCCGUGAGAGAAAAGCUCGGCCAAGCAGAGGGGGAGGGAAUUGCCUGGGAAUAGCAGGAGGCAGAGAAUGAUGGAGGAGAAUUAAAAUGAAGAUCUACAAAUCCCUGCUGCUGAGAAGCACCGAGACACCAUGAGCGCUGGGACUGCCUGGGGUUCGUUUCUGCAUUCAUUGUUUUCCACCAUUUUGGGCACUAUUCUAAGCGUUAGACAAGAUCUCUCCUUCAUGAAACUUACGUUCUAGUCAGGGAAGUAAAUAUAAAUAGGUAAAAAAGUAAACCAGGCUCAUAGGUAUAGAGAACAGAUUGGUGGUUGCCAGAGGUAGGGGUGGGGAGUGGGCAAAAUGGGUGAAAGGAGUCAAAAGGUGCAAACUUCCAGUUAUCCAAAAUAAAUGUCAUGAGGAUGUCAUGUACUGCAUGGCAACUAGUUAAUAAUACUGUAUCACAUAUUUGAAAGUUGCUAAGAGAGUAAAUCUUAAAGUCCUCAUCUUGGGGCUGACUCAGUGGCAUAGUGGUUAAGUUCACACACUCUGCUUAGGUGGCUAGGGGUUCAUGGGUUUGGAUCCCAGGUGUGGACCUAUAUACCACUCAUCAAGCCAUGUUGUGGUGGCAUCCCACAUACAAAAUAGAGUAAGAUUGGCACAGAUGUUAAGCUCAAGGCCAAUAUACCUCAAGCAAAAAGAGGAAUAUUGGCAACAGAUGUUAGCUCAGGGCCAAACUUCCUCACCAUAAAAAAUUUCUCAUCUCAAGAAAAAAAAAUUCUAUAACUAUAUAUGAUGAUAGAUGUUAACUAGACUUAUAGUGAUGAUCAUUUCACAAUAUAUACAAAUAUUGAAUCAUUAUGUUGGACACCUAAAACUAAGAUAAUGUUGUAUGUAAAUUAUACCUCAAUAAAAAAAAUGGGUGUGGGGGCCAGCCCAGUGGCGUAGUGGUUAAGUUCACAUGCCCUGCUUUGGUGGCCCGGGCUUUGCGGGUUCAGAUCCCAGGUGCAGACCUACACACCACUCAUCAAGCCAUGAUGUGGUGGCAUCCCACAUACAAAAUAGAGGAAGACUGGCACAGAUGUUAGCUCAGGGACAAUCUUCCUCAAGCAAAAAGAGAAAGAUUGGCAACAGAUGUUAGCUCAGGGUCAAUCUUCCUCAUCCAAAAAAGCCCAUUUUUUUUUCAUUACAUAGGAACAGUUGGCAAUUUCUUACAAAACUAAACAGACUCUUACCAUAUGCUCCAGCAAUCACACUCCUUGGUACUUACUGAAAGGAGUUGAAAACUUGUGUCCACUCAAAGACCUGCACAUGGAUGUUUAUAGCAGCUUUAUUCAUAGCUAACAAAACUUGGAAGCAACCAAGACGUCCUUCAGUAGGUGAACAGAUAAGCUGUGGUACAUCCAGACAAUGCAAUAUCAUUCAGUGCUAAAAAUAAAUGAUCUGUCAAGCCAUGAAAAGACAUAGAGAAACCUUAAGUGCAUAUUACUAAGUGAAAGAAGCCAACGUGAAAAGGCUACAUACUCUAUGAUUCCAGCUAUAUGACACUCUGGAAACAGCACAACUAUGGAGACAGUAAAAAGAUCAGUGGUUGCCAGGGGUGGGGCAGAGGGAGGCAUGAAUAGGUGGAGUACACAGGAUUCUUGGGGCAGUGAAAACACUCUGUGUGAUACCAUAAUGAUGGAUAUCUGUCCUUAUACAUUUGUCCAAAUCCACAGAAUGUACGACACCAAGAGUGAACCCUAAUGUAAACUCUGGACUUUGCAUGGUAAUGACGUGUCAAUGUAGGUUCAUGGUUUGUAACCAAUGUACCACACUGGUGGGGGAUGGGAUGUUGAUACUGGGGGAGGCUGUGAAGGUAUGGGGGCAGGGGUAUAUGGGAACUCUCUGUACUUGCUACUCAACUUUGCCGGGAACCUAAAACUUCAAGUAUAUUAAAAAAAAAAAAAAUCCAUUAUAACAAAAAGCUGGAGGAUGGAAUACUCUAGAUUAAAAAAAACUAAAGAGGGCUUCCAUAAAUGAAUGAAUAGAGUAAUAAGUGCUGGAAAGAAAAGUAGAGCUGGCAAGAGGACUGUGUAUGGGAGCAGCUAUUUUUACUUAGGCAUCAAAGAAGGCGUCUCUGAGAAGGUGAUAGAGACCUGAAUGAAGAGAAGGGGGAAGCCAUGUGAAUAUUUGCAAGAUAAACAGUCCAGAUGGAGGGUGGAGGGACCUAUGGGCAAAUUGCUGAGCCCAUAAUGUGCUUGUUCUUCAAAGAACGGCAAAGAGGUCGAUGUGGCUGGAGAGGAGUGAGCGAAAGAGACAGUGAAAGGAAAUUAGGUCAGCGAGGUAGCUGGGCAAGAGCACCAUGCAGUGGGCCUCACAGGCCACGAGGACUUAGGGUGUUACUGUGCAUGUGAUGGGGAGCCAUUGGGGGAAUCCCGAGCAACCUUCCAAUUCCAGUGUCUUCUGGGAAGUCUAGCUGCUCUAUGAUUUCCAUUCUUCCCAUAAAUUCCUGUCCUCUUACCCAUAGAGCCCCAUUGUUUCCCAUAAAGUCCCUUUGGUCAGAUGAGCAGGAAUGAGUUUUCCUUCCUGCCAACAAAGUGAGCCAGUCCCCAAAGCCACCAUGAUUUGACCCUAAGAAAUCCCUCAGCUUCCCCUUCUUCCUCUUGCCCCUUUCUCCCAGUGCUCCACUCCAGCAGCCUCAUAUUUGCCAGGUGCUAGGUGCAGCCUGCCUUUGCUGCCUCUGGGUCUUUGCUCUAACUCUUCCCUCUCUCUAGAAAGACUUUCUCUGGAGAACUUCUUGUCACAGUCCACCUCUCCAAGGACAUUCGCAAAUCCCACUUCUUCUAGGAAACUUUCCAUGAUCACUUGACUUGAAAUGGACUCUUCUCUCCUUAACUCCUGUUUGGAUUAUUUUCAGUUGCAUAAGUAACUACCCAAAACUUAGUGCUUACAAAUUAAAACAAUAAUUUACUAUCUCUUGAAAUGCUGUGGGCUUACUAGGCAUUCUUCUGCAUCACAAGGUGUGGCUGGGUGCUGGCACAGCUGAAGUCAACCGGGGCCUUAACUGGACUGGACCGUCUAAGACGGCUCACUCCCAUGGCUGACAGUUGAUGCUCAGCUGGGGCUGUCAAUGGGGCACCUGUAGAUGACAGGUCACAGCAUGGCAGCUAGGUUCCUAGAGGGAGCAUCCUGAGAAAAUCAGGAGGAAGCCACAAGGCUUCUGAUGGUUUAGCCUUGGAAGGCACCCAAAGUCAUUUCAGCUGCAUUCUGUCGUCAUGGGCCAGCCCAGUUUUGAGGAGGUAAAAAGGACAAAUAGAUCCUGGCUCUUAAUGGAGGCAGUGUCAAGGAAUUUGCAGUUAUCUUCAACCCACCACAGCUCUCAUGGUGUUGUUUCCACAUACUGAUUAGAGCGUUUGUCACCUUUUGCCUAUAUAACAAUUAUUUAAGUGUCUUUUAUCUCACAUACUAGAUUUUAUGCCCCUGAGGAGAGACUACAUCUUAUUUAACUCAAUUCUUUCAAAGUAAUAAUAACCACAAUAAUAACAAACAUUUAUUAAGUGCCUACUAUGUGCUUGAUCUCAUCUAUUCAAACACAUGAUCUCCUCUAGUCUCUACUCUGACAGGGUAGACAUUAUCCCCAUUUUACUGAUUGGGAAACCGAGGCACAGAGAGAUUCAGCCUUGCCCAAAGCCAUAUACAGUCAUGAGCUGAAUAACGACAUUUCAGUCAACAACAGACUGUGUAUACAACAGUGGUCCCAUAAGAUUAGCACCGUAUAGCCUAGGUGUGUAGUAGGCUUUACCAUCUAGGUUUGUGUAAGUACUGUAGGGGAGGAAGAAAUUCUCCUCUACCCUCUAGGUUCUUGUGGCUGGUUUAAGAAUGAAAUUGACCUGAGACAGUUAGAGGGAGAAAAGCAAACAAAAGUUUAAUAGCAUGUAUAUAGGGGAGAAGUCCAGGAAAACCAAGUAACUUACCAAAAUGGCUGAAGCCCUCACCUUAAGUACCAUCCUCAGCUAAUGAGAAAAGAUGUUGGGGUGGGGAGAGUCAAGAACUUCAAAGGGAAGGAAGGCAAUUCACAGGUAGGUGAAAAGGAGCAAAUGUUUGGAAAACAAGUGUGUAUUUGGCCACACAGAAACAGAAGAACACAGAGGGGAGCCCAACAAACUGUCUACCGUCUAGUUCAUGUUACACUAAGGUGAUAGCUCACUUCCUGAGACAGGCUUUUUUUUUAAAUCUGAUUUCUUUUAGGCAGUUAAGCGGGAGGUAACAAGAAAAACUUUCUGAGUCCUUUGUUUCUUAAAAAUAAUCAGCCUAAAAUAGUCCUCAUGUUAAAGAGACACAUUUGGGGUGGCAAAUUUUGUUCCCCUUCAGUACACUCUCUGAUGUUCACACGACAAAAUUGCCUAACAAUGUAUUUCUCAGGACGUGUCCCCGUCAUUAAGUGAUGCAUGGCUGUAAUUGGUAGGUGGCAGAGCCAGAAUUUUGAACCCAUUGAAGAGUCUGUCUUCUCAUUAUCUUUUCCAUUGCCAUCUCACAAUCUUGGCACCAAAGAAAUGUGCUCAAGUCAACCUGUGUUGGUGUUACUGAAGUGUCGCUGGGCACAAGAACAAAAGGGAAAGAAGAAGAAAGAAUGCAGAACGGAAAGUGAGGGGUGGCACAGAGUUGUCAUCAAGUGAGCCAGGUGGCUCCAGUUGACACAUGGUCCAGAGGUCCAGUGCUGAGCAUCCUCUGUAGCCUGCUGGAUAGAGGGCAGAGUGUUUGGGAGCUCAGCAAGGAAUGGGAGUAUUUAUUGGGUCUGAGUGCCUGAUUCGAAACUCUUCUCCAAAAUUCCUAUUUUCUGUCUGCCAAAAUAAGUGAUGGACUUUACAGUUCAUAUUCUAGCUCAUCUGCCCAGGUCAGGGACCUACCACUCUGAAUUUCUCGUCUGCUUCUUCCCAGCUAGAAGUAAGUCUCGAUUUACUUCCCAUCAGGAACAAGCACCAUCUCCCUGCUCAGUGAGAUCCUAGUUUUAGAAGAUUCUGCCUUUAUCCUGGGAAUAUCUAUGUAUGUGCACAAAGCCCCUCUCUGUGGAGGAGACACUUAAACCUAAAAUAAGUGGGAACUUCAUAUCCAGGGAGAUGGCAAAUAAAAUGUCAAUAUUUUUUACAUUAAACAACCUCUUAUAUAUCUGUUCUUCUGUGAACGUAAUGGCACCGAUGGGCCAAAAGUCCAAAAAAACUGCUUCAGUUCCUGUGUUAGUCCGUUCAGGCUGCGGUAACAAAAGCCCACAGCCUGGGUGGGGGGUGGUAGUUUAUAAACAACAGACAUUUAUUUCUCACAGUUCUGGAGUCUGGGAAGUCCAAGAUCAUGGUGUCAGCAUGGUUGGACAUGGGCCCUCUUUCUGGUUCACCGCCUGCACCCUCUCGCUGUGUCCUCACAUCGUGGAAGGGGCAAAGGAUCAUUCUGAAGCCUCUUUUUUUCAAGGCACUAAUCCCUUGGUGAGGGCUGCACCCUCAUGACUUAAGCACAUCCCAAAGGUCCCAUCUCCUAAUACCAUCACCACUGAGGGUUAGGAUUUCAACAUUUGAGUCUGCGGGGGACACAAACAUUCAAACCGUACAGUUCCUCAAUGUGAAUGUCAACAAUUGGUGCAAAAAGUGGAGGCACAGAUUGUUUUAGCCUCUUUCCCCUGUGGCCCCCACACUCAUAGGGCUGAUCAUCCCCUGCUCACGUGUGCACCAUUCCCAAAGGACAUCACCGUGAAAUGGUGGCUAUGUUCUUGGACAUGACAGAGCAAGUGUCUUCAGUACUUCAAGGACACAAUUAUACAGCUCUAUGCACCUUGGGAAUUACAAAGACAUUCACUGAUCAGCCUGGUCAGCUGACAUUCUUAAUUGUUUACAGUCAAUUCUCCUUGCUCCAGGUCCACCCAUGAGUCCCUAGAAGGAUAAAAGGGUAGAUCAGCUUAUAAAAACACUGCCUUAAGAACCUAAAAAGUCUGAAAUGACAAAACUCUGCCAAACAAUGGAGAAAUCCAUUGAAAAUACCAACUACUUGUGUAGUAAGGUCAAGCAAGCAUGUCACUAGGCCUUACUGUAUCAGAGGCAAAAUUAUCUAACAUGGAUGAUUGGUCCUACUGAAUAUUUUGGUUCCUUCAACUCCCUACCACCCACCCCCGUAAUCAUUCUCCACACAGCAGCCAGGGCUAGCUUUUAGAAAUUGAAAUCAGAUUGUAUGAGCCCUUGCUAAAACACCCCAAAGUCUUCCUAAUCACUUAGAAUAAUCUCCAAACAUCUGAGCAGAUCCUUAGAAGGUUCUAGAUCAUUUGUCCCUGCCUAUCUCUUCUACCUCAUCUCCCUCCAUUGUCCCAUAUUAACAGGUCCUGCCAUACAAGUUUCCUGUUUGUUCAAGAACACACAUCAAGUCUGAUCUGUCCUCUGGACCUUUGCACCUGCAGUGCCCUCUGCCUGAAAUGCCCAGCUCUUGGCCUGGCUUUCUUUCUUCUUUCAAGUAUCAGUUCAAGUACCACUUCCUUGACCACACAGUCUAAAGCAGUCCUCACCCCACUUCGCUCUCCAUUGGUGCUCUUAUUUUCUUUUCUAUAGCACCUUCAACCUAGAUACUUACACGUUUAUCACAGCCCCUCACUUGAGAGUGUAUGUACCAUGACGCAGGAACUUGAUGGACCUCCCCUGUGUCUCCAGCACCUUCCAGAAUACUUGGGACAAGUAGGUACUCAAUAUUUGUUGAAUGACUGAGCAUAUUAGUUUCUUAUAUCCUCCAGGCAUUUUAGAGACACUGUCGCCUGGGGAAGACACUUGGAAAUUUAACCUCUCUUGAGAAGGCAGGGAAAGCCUCGCUUCUCAUUAAUUAUUUAAAUACCUACAAAGCCUGGGAUUUCAGGAGGAUUAAGAAUCUUCCUCAUUCCACUUGUCACCGCUACAUGCUCUCAGGCCUAAUCAUAGCACCUGUGACUCUUACACCGACGGCUGGUGUCUGGUCUCCUGAGAGCCUUAGUGUAGCAAGAAAGCAUCUACAGACUGUUAACACUGGCAUCUUUUGAGAUUUUAAUUAUUGGAGUAUUUUUUUUCUAUCUCAUUCAUGGUCAGGAUUUUGAUUAACUUGUAAGUGGGAGCUUUGGCAAUUAGAGGAGUUUGGAGGAGGGUGUUUAGGGCUGGUAAGAAAUGCCAGGGCCGCCCUUAGCUGCUAGUGCAGGAAUUGGCGGUAUGCCAGCUGCCUCCCCCAUCUUUGCAUCCAUCUACACCCCAUGUGGGAGGAUGGGCACGCAGCAGGAUUGUUGGCUGCAAUGGGUCGUCGGACUUGCUGGGAGCUCUCUGCUUCCCAGAUAUUUCUUUCUGUCUACGGCAUCUUUGUGGAUGCGGGAGUCUCCAAGUUUUCAGCAGGUUAGGCCAGCAGGCAGCAGCUCACUCUGGUGUUAUGUAGUUGGAGCACCUUCUUCUCAGCACUUGGGCUUCCAUCCAGGCUGCCUCAGCGCUUCUGAACGACCAAGGUCUGGAAAUAGUUCAUCCACGGAGCUGGCUUGGCAGAGGCAGGCUGCUCAGCUGAGCAGUGCGGCGGCUCUGACUGCUCUCUCCUCAGGGGUCCCAGGUCCACCCAUCGCUUCUCACCUCCUCCUAUUCUGGGCUUUCAGAGCCCAGUUCUGCAUUUAGAUGUAGCUUUGCAGGGAGAUAGGUCUGGGUUUGAACCUUUACCAACCUGUUUAACCCUCUGAGCCUCAAUUUCUUUAUCCGUAAGAUGGGGACGAGAACCACAACCUACCUCACAAGUUUUUGAGAGGAUUGAAUGAGACACUGGGUGCAAAGUGUCUAGAACAGUAAAUGUCAGCUGUUAUCAUUUGGGUUCAAGUUUAUGUGUGACACCUUAAGCCAGUUCACCCUCUGGGUCUCAGCUUUCUCACCUAUAAAUUGAGGAUAAUGCCUCUUGUAGUUGUGUGAUAAUGAAACGAGGGUGCAAGAUAAAUUGUCAAGCAUUUUCCAAAUGCGGCCUGAUUUCAUCAGUGAGUCUUUGACUUGCAUCUACCUCUGGCCAUGAAGUUAAGUUGAAUUUCUCACAAAACCCUAAACAUGGACAUGUUGUCUGCCUUACUCGUGAAAAGAAUGUAGAAAUAUAGAAUGGGGCGGGCUAUAUGCAAACACUGUUGGGAAGUUAAAAAAAAAAAGGCAAAUAGCAUUAAAAUGAUUAUUGCAUGAGUGACCAGACUUUCGUCCCUCAGGGGAAAAUAUUUCCCAAUUUGCUUAGAGUAGCAAAAAAGAGGGAAAAAAAAGAUUUGAUGGUUAUUUCAAAUCUGUCUCCCCCAGGGAAAUUAAAUCUGAGUUAUGAGGUAUUUUUCAUGAAGCCAGAGUCUAGCAUAAAACUAACAAUUAAAAAAACCACUGUGAGAUGACCAUAAGUGGAUUCGGACGGAAUUGUCCUUAGCACAGGGAUGCGGGAGCACACCGUCAUCCCUGCCACAGAACUUCCUCCGACCCCCGCCCUACCCCACAUCCUUGGCCUGGUGGGGUCUGGGUACAUCCUUUAGGAGUUAUGUCACCUGCCAUGUUCCCAUCGCCCUGCAGGCAGGGACCUCCCAGUGUUCACAGCUGGUAAACUGACAGGCCUCCUCAGUCUCUGUCACUCCCACCGGCCCUCCUCAUCCCCAGCAGGAAUUGGUGCUGCUGUGAGGACCGCAAAGGCAGCGGGGCAUUUUUAUUCUGAAGUAACAAGUUAUUACAUGUAAACCAUGGUUUCUGUUUUUAUUUUUUCAAAAAUGACACUGAGUACUUUUCCCAGAAACCUGAUUGUUUUUAGCCUCAUCUUUGGUCUUCUCUCCUAUGGGCAGUUUCAAAGGUCAGGGGCGUUUCUCAUUUGAAUCUCCCCAGCACCCCUUUCUGAAGCAGAGCCGUCUUCUCUGUAGGGAACCCAUGCAAGGGGAGCUCACUUUGCCCAUUCGCAGGACCCAGAACUGGCCAAUCCUUGUAUCCUACACUCUUGGCCAUUGUGGCUGGUUCCCAUAGGCACAUGAGGCAAAUCAAGCAAAUCAGGAGCUUCCUUGGAUCUUUCCUGAUAUUGCAAUUGGCAAAGGCCGUGUCUUUCCCCUGGGGUUGUCAGGCUGGGAGGAUUUCAGUCUGAGGCUGCUGGUAGCCAUGAGGCCAGGGCCUGCCUGAGAGACAAGAGAUCUCUGAUAGCAUUGUUGGCACUCUGGAUCAAGCCCUGCCUGAAGCCACUACAGUAGGGCACUAUGUGAACUAAUAAAUACCCUCCAUGUCGCUUUUUUUGAAGGGGGUUUCUGUCACUGUCAACUGCAAACAUCUUGACUGAUACAGUUAGAUUAGCCUCUGUGUUAGGUUUUUUGAAAAUUCUUGAAGAAUGGCUAAGAUGGAAUGAAUGCGGUGUAAAGAAACGUGAAAUAGAGGGGAGCAUACAGGUUAAAUUUGGAAUUUCCUUGAAAAAUAAUGCCUCCCAUUUACUGAACACCUGCGAGUGCCACACAUUUUAUAUACCCCAUCUUCUUGGCUUCUCACUGCCAUCCUGCAGGUUGUAUUAUAACCAUUUUAGAGAGCAGCAAACUGAGGCUUGGAGGAACUAAGAGACUUGCCAAAGACCACUCAGGGAGGAAGUAGUGGAGCCAGGAUUUUGCACUCGAGUUUUUGGUGAAACAACUUCCAUCCUAUAGAUCUAAGACUAUUGCUUACUCAUUCAUUCAGCACUUAUUGGACAUUAGGUAUUUGCCAGGCAGGAUGUUAGGCACCGGGGAUAUGAAAUGAAUAUGAUAGCGCACAUCCUUCAGCUGCUCAGAGUCCAGUGGGGGAGACCCCCAUUAGGGUCAUUAUUAUGGGUUGAAUGGUAUCCCCCAAAAAGAUAUCUUGAACUCCUAACCCCUGGUAUGCGUGAAUGUGAGAUUCUUUGGGAAUAGGGUCUAUGCCCAUGUGAUCAAGAUAAGGCGAGGCCAUUAGGGCAGGCCCUAGUCCAGUAUGACUGGGUCCUUCUAAGAGGGAAAUUUCGACCCCCGGACCCACGGGAAAAGGCCACGUGAAGCUGGAGGCAGAGAUUGGAGUGAUGCUUCUCCAAGCCAAGGAACACCAAGGAUUGUCCUCUGUCACCAGAUGCUGGGGGAGAGGCAUGGAACAGAUUCUCCCUACGAGCUCUCAGAAGGAACCAGCCCGGCCAACACCCUGAUGAAGGACUUGCAGCCUCCAGAACUGCGAGACAAGACAUUUCGGUUGUUUUGAGUGACUCAGUUUACGACAGCCCUAGAAAACAAAUACAGUCAUCCAGGGUUCCACCUCCAGGAACCUGUGUUGAUUUGAAUCUCGUCUAAGAUUGCUCUGCCUGUGGCCCCCCCAGCUGACAACCUGGGACAAGCCUCUGCAGCCUGUAGUCCCACCCUCCCAUCCAUCACACCUCGCAGGUGGGCUCCUCCCAGCCACAGCUCCCUGUCCUCUUUGCCACAGAUGAGUGAAGCCACUGGGUCCCGGAUUGCCCAGCACCAGGACGCACCCUGUGUGACAAUGCUCCCCUCCCCCGACCUCUGAACACACUCUGGCCCCAAUAGCCGCCCGGGGCCCACAGUUUGCUUUGGACAGGCAAGUACCUGGAGGCAGCGGACAGCUAAUACCAGGGCGUUGCCCUUCCUUUAUAUUCCAAAGCUGUUCUGUUUCCAGGAUACGAGUCUCAUGAUUCCUCCUUUGUGAUUAAUGUUGAAGCCAUUUCUUGAUGUACUGUCUUAAUAACACGGUGAAGGCAAACAGCCUUUGGUUGGCGAAUGUGACAGCACUUUUAUCUGACCAGCCUCACCCUGGCCUAUUCCUGCAAACCAGGUAGGCAGCAUGUGGAUGUGGAAGACGUGAAACGAGGGGAAAUAAAGUCUGAAUUAAUCGGCAAUUUGCCUAGGCUGGUGAUUAGCUAUAAUUUGGACCUGCUGCCUAGCGUUUUAAGCGCUGGCCCAACUUCCUUUAGUUUUUGACUGUCUUGAAAUGCCAACAAAACUCUCCUAAUGAGAAGCAUUUACCUGCUGAUGUGUUUGGAGGGCAAAACGCCAGCUCAUUAAACGUGGUGAAGCCUCCAGUAGCUAAAGCUUUCCUGGUGGGUGAACUUAAACUUUCCAUACUCCUAAAGAAGGGGGCGACGUCAGUUAUAAUUAUUCCCAAGUGGGUGUCCUCCUGUCAACACCUCAAGGCCAAGGCCCUGAUCUUGCUUUUUUAAUUUUUGUACCUUUAAGAACAUCUAACAGAGUGGGUACUUCAGGCCUGCUGGUUGGCUUAAGUACAGGGAUUUAAUUCGGGCCACUGUGACCCUAGUAUGUUUUUAUCACACAUGGUGGUUAAGAAUUUAGGCUUUGGAGCUUAAGAGGCAGGCUGCCUGGAUUAGAAUGCAAGCUGGCUGUGUGACUUCGGGAAGGUGAGUUAACCUCUCUGAGCUUCAGUCUCUUAUCUGCAAAAUGAGUUGUUAGAAUGAGUCAAUGAGAUAACGUACCUGAAGUGCUCAGCAAUCAACAAAAAGAGCCAUUAUUAUUAACUGGUAAUUGGAAGAUCCGGACUUAGCCAGGUUUGUCUGACUCCAGAACCCAGGCUGUUGCCCAUUUUGGGGCUCAGCAUGACUUCCACUGGAUUUCUCUCCACCAUAGGGUGAGCUGGCAUAACCAGACGCAGGACCAGCAGCCACGUGCUGGAAGAGCCAUGCUGGACAUGCUAAAUCCUUUCUCAGAUGCCUGGACAGAGCUCCCUAAGCCCCCAAAAUCACAGCCAAGAAGCCCCAUACUCCCACCCAAGUUGGUCAUGCAGAAAUCUCGGGAGCGUCUCUGUCUCUUUGUGGGAAGAGAGAAGAUUUCCAGACUCCUUUCGGGUCUCUCUCUCUCCCAGGGCUUGUCAAAGUCCCCUGUUGUGAGGACAGGAGCUCAAGGAGAGAAGACACACUUUAGGGUCCUACUCAGCUCCCCUCCCCCAGAGGUACAGGCGACUGUGGCCUCUCAGAUCUGGAAGCAGUCUUCCCAGCUCUCCAUCCGUACUAGUUUCUUAUGGCUGCCAUAACAAAGUACCAAAAACUGAGUGGCUUAAAACAGAAAUUUAUUGUCUCACAGUUCUGGAGGCUAGAAGUCCAAGAUGAGGGUGUCGGCAGGGCCGUGCUCUCUGACAGCUCUAGGGGAAAACCCUUGCUGGCCUCUUCCAGCUUCUGCUGUUUGGAGUGGUCCUAGGUCUUCCUUGGCUCCUUAGAUGCAUCACUGCGGUCACAUGGCCAUCUUCUCCCUGUGAGUCUUCACACAGUGUUUCCUCUGUGCAUGUCUGUGCAUGUGUCCAAAUUUCUCCUUUUUAUAAGGACACCGGUUAUCUUGGAUCAGGGUCCACCCUAAUGACCUCAUUUUACCUUGAUUUUCUCUGUUAAGACCCUAUUUCCAAAUAAGGUCACAUUCUGAGUUACUGGGGGUUAGAACUUUAGCAUUUCUUUCUUUGGGAGGCGGAAUUCAACUCACCACACCAUCUGUGAUGGUUAAUUUUAUGUGUCAACUUGGUUAGGCUAUCACACCCAGCUAUUUGGUCAAACAUUAUUCCAGAUAUUUCUGUGAAGGUAUUUUUUAGACAAGAUGGACAUUUAAAUCAGUCGAUUUUGAGUAAAGCAGAUUACCCUCCAUCCGAUCAGUGAAAGGCCUUAACAGAAAAAGAUUCACGUCCCUCGAAGAAGAGAGUAUCCUGCCUGCAGGCGACCUUGGUACUCAAAGUGAAAUCCUUCCCUGGAUGUCUAGCCUCCCGGCCUACCCUGCAGAUUUUGGACUGGCCAAGCCUCCACAAUCAACUGAGCCAAUCCUUAAAACAAAUUCUCUCUCUAUAGAUAGAUAGAUCGAUCGCUUGAUAGAUAGAUAGAUCAAUCUAUCUAUGGCUAGGGAUCUAUAUCUGUAUCUAUAUCUCAUAUAGAUAGAGUUGGUUCUGUUUCUCCAUUGAUUCUGUUUCUCUGAAGAACCCUGACUGAUACACCAUCCAAGGGUCCCUUGGCGAUGGUGCCACGAUCGUAGCAAGGCUGGCAAUGCCUCACCCAGACAGAGGAGAAUGCCUGGGGCUGCCUUUCAACUCACCUCACUGUAAACAGUCAGUCAACCAGCAGACACGCAUUUCUGAGCCUUCGAUUUUUAUUAAUCCCUCGGCAAAGGAAGUUUGGACAGUUCAGUCUCAGUGUGAAUUGCAUUCAGAGACCAUGGAGAAGGGACAAGAAGAGAUUCCCUAGCUUCACAAGCUGGUGUGGUUCUGGAGCUGCUGUUCUGUACAAGGAGGACAGAAACACUCAUUUAAAAUAAUGCAUAAAAUGUUAAAGUCUGUCACAUUGUUCAUUGUCUAGUUACCUUUUGCUGUCUAACAAACUGCUUCAAAAUUUACUGGCUGGAAACUAUAACUAUUUAUUUAUUUGUGACUCUGAGGGUCAGCAGUUCAUGCUGGGCUCAACAGGGUGGUUCUCCUGCUUGAUGGCUUCUGGAGUCAUUUAUGCAGCUUCUGUCACCUGGUAGAACUGGGUGUCUUACUUAGUUGGAGCUGCUGUAACAAAAAUACCAUAGUCUUUGUGGCUUACACAAAAGAAAUUUACUCCUCCCAGUUCUGAAAGCUGCGAAGUCGAAGGUGAAGGUGCCAGCUGAUUCCCUGAGGGCUCUUCCUGGUUUGUGGAGGGACACCUUCUUGCUGUGUUAUCUCAUAACAAGGACAAAGAUCAUCUCUCUCCCGCCUCCCCUUAAAAAGGCAUCAAUCCCGUUCAGGAGGGCUCCUCUCUCAUGACCUAAUUACCUCCCAAAGGUCCCAACUCCAAAUACCAUUACACGGGCCAUUAUGGCUUCCACAUGUGAAUUUGGGGGAAAAGCGAGCAUUCUGUCCGUAGCACUGGGACGAGAUGGUCCAAGAUGGCUUCACACACAUCUGGCCAUUGGUACUGGCUGUUGCCUGGGCUUCUCUCUCCAUUCGAGUUCUCAUCUUCAAGAUAGCUAGCCUGGGCCUCUUUACCUGGUGGUCCUGUGUUCUAAGAAGGUGAGAGUAGCAGCUGCUAGGCCCCUUAAGACCUAGACUCAGAAGUCACCAAAACAUCACUUCCAUUGUAUUCCUUCAGCCAAAGCAAGUUACAAAGUCUUCUUCUGUUCAAGGUGAGGAAGAAUGGACUCCACCACUUGACAGGAGGUGGUGCAACGAUGUUCACGCACUGAUGUGAGGAUUUAUUACAGCCAACUUUGCAAACAAUCUACCACGUUUACUGAGCAAAUUAAAUCAGUGAAUGUAAAGGGCAAGUUAUGUCAGGAUACAUCAACAGAGGUGACAGCACGACACUGAUCAGACCCAGAGAUCAGAGGGGCAUUUCAGACGUGUGAGGACAUUGCUGUUUAUUACGCCAUUUGAUUGAGAACCCGGCAGGGAAGGUCUUUGGGAUCCGCCUGAUUCAAAGUCUAGUCUAUAAAUUUUUUCCUGUGAAAUUAGAUAUUUGCCUCAUCUCUGUUACAGCACAGCCAGAGGCAUCUGGCUGGGCCUGCUAACUUAUGUUCUUAGAUUUUCCUUGGCAGAAAUUAAUUUCUUUUUCUUAAGAAGUUUUUUUUCUCACUCCAAGGCUGAGUCUUUGCGUUAAUACCGGGGAUCCACAAUUCAUAAAUUUGUACCUCUUGGUUCAUUGUUUCAAAAUGAGACUUUUAAUAGAUUCCAAAGACUUAAUAAGAGUGCCGCCUAGUCACAUAAUGAAGCUACUGUGCACGUGGCUGACAGGUAGUAAUUUAUUAUUAUCCAUGUCUCUGAUAAGAGCUGUGCCAUGCACAGUGGGUGCCUAAUAAAUAUUAGCUAUUACAACAUAAGCGAUGGAAGAAAGUUUGUCCCUUUGUGUCUCAGCCAACCGUUCAUAACACAUUCUUCUAUUACCAUUGUAUCUAUUUUCUGUUAAUUUUAUCAAUUAUAUGUAGAGGGGAACUAUAGCCAUGUGUCUUUAUUAUUGUGAGUUUAAAUGUCCUAAUUUAUCCUGCCACUGUGUUUUGCUUAGCAGAGCAAGUCACAAUAUUUUUCUGUCCCUGCAGUGAAAGACUGCAGUAAAUUGAUCUUGCUAACAACAGAUAAUUAUUAGCUUCCUCAAGAAUUUUACUGUAUAUGCAUUGCUAAGCAUUCCAGGAGGAUUAAUAUUUCUAAGAAUUUUGGACAAGAUGAGGUAUCGGCCAAAAGAGAGGGCUGUUUUAAUGUUGGCCCUUGCUCCUGUUGCAUAUCCACCACCGAUCAUUUGUUAAUGCUGCUUGUGUUUCAAUCUGUGGUCACUCCAAGAAUGAAUGCUCCUCUGCUGACUAAUACACCCAGUUCCAAAGGGAGAAGCAGGCAACUCAGAACACUGGACGAUGCCGGCAGUCACCAGGUGCUCAAGGUAAUUUGCAAACAUUUGCAGGCAAGUUUUUUCCGGGCUGAACUGCAGGCAAAGCUCCCACUGACUUCACAGGGAGCUCCCAGGGGACACGCAGCAAGGCACAAAGGUGCUCACUGAUGAUCAGGCCUGGACAGGAGGAAAUGUCUCUAGAACACUCUUUAGAUCCCUCUGGAUCAUGGUGGAGGAAGGAUGGAUAAAUGAAUGAGCAGGUGUGUAUUGACCUUCACCAUGUGCAAGGUGCUGUGCCACAGCUGGGAAAGGUACAAAGAAUUCUGGAACGCUUUCCUGACCCUCAGAGUCUGAAAUCUCGCAGAAGAGGCCCAUCUAUGCCCAAGGUUAGCAGCACAGCUUUGGAGCCAGAUGGCCUGGGUUUGAAUCUUGGCUCUGCCACACUGACUCUUGGACCUUAGGCAAGUUAUGCAACCUCUCUGUGCCUCAGUUUUCUCAUCUGGGGUUAACAAUAGUAUGUACCUCAUACGGUCGUUGUGAGGAAUAAACAUAUUAAUGAAAGAGCUUAAAACUUGGUCAUUACUCUUAUAAAUGAGAGCAAAGCAGCAAACAUUUAUAAACUAUUCACAGCUGAGUGCUGUACAUGCUUCAUCUCAUCUGAUCCACAAACGACAUGUGAGGUGGGGACCGCCAUUAUCCCCAUUUUACCGACAAGGAAAUGGAGGCUCAGAGAAGUUAAGUAAGUAACUUGUAUAAAACCACAAAGUUAGGAAGUGGUAGAGGUGGGAUUUGUACCCAGAGCUAAGGCACUUAGCCAUGAUUCUAGAAUGUGUCUCCUAUAAGAAAAUCAAUGAGGGCCAAAUGCUUUAGGUUCUCAGAGAACCGAGAGCUCUCUGGGAACUGGGGCGAUCAUGGUAGGUUUCUGCUGAGUCUUCCUUUUUGAUGUAGGAGGAUCAUUUAUAUAUUCAGCCAUAUUUAUUGAGCAUGUAAUAUGAUCGGGCACAGAGCUGGAGACCUUGUGAGUGAUGCAUGGUUUCUACUCAGUUUAAAAGGGAAGACAUCAACGAUCGAAGGCUGCAGCAGCAGGGAGCGGGUCAUGCUGAGCAGGGCCUGGAGGCAGGAGUGGGCGAAUCUUUCAGGGAUGGGAAGAUAUGGACGAAGGGAGCAGGGCAAGGGAGCAUCCCUAAGGAGGUGAAGGCUAUGGCACAACAUGAGCAAAGGCUCAGAGGGAUGAAACAGCUCAAUGAAACCCUAAGUAUUUACAUAGUUGAAGCCACGCGUGACAGUGGGUAGGAUGGGAAGAAAUAAUUAUACUAACUGACACCCUUUGAAUGCACAUGAUGUCUUCUGCACUCUCUCUUUUAUUCUCUCCCUGGAGUGGGCAAACUAUGGCUUGUGGGCCAAUUCCAGGCCACCACCUGUUUUUGUAUGGCCCACAAGCCAAGAAUGAUUUCUACAGAUGAACAUUUGUAACUGAUUUUGAUGAUGAUUUUGAACCCUAAUUAAGCAAAAUGUUAUCCUUCCCCCGAAAAGAGCACUCCAUUGUUACUAGCAGACCCGUGUUACAAAAAAAUUGUCCUUGAUUAUUAUUAUAUUUUGAAAUUUGUCAAUAAAAUACGUUGUGGAAAUUAAUUCUCUCUCUAGUUAUGUAAGUACCUACAUAAUAGUCUUAAUUUUGUAUCUUGACCUACAAAACUUGAAAUAUUUACAACCUGGCCCUUUAUAGGAAAAGCCUGCCAAAGACUGUUCCUUCCAAAUGCCCAGGAGGCAUUGUUCUUAUUUAAGGAUAAGGGAACUGAUGCACAGAAGGAUUAAUUGCAGAGCAAGCCGGGAUGGAAGUAAGAUUUGAACCCAGGCAGUCUUGUCCUAGGGGCCCAAGCUCUGAACUGCACUUCCACCAGUGUUUGCAGAGGCCUGGGGAAGAAGCUCAGGCCUGAACUAGAGCAGGGCAGAGCGAAUGGGGGAACAAAACUGCCCGGAUGUGGAGACAAGCAAGAAGAAGGAGGCAUCCCAGCUGAGCCAGGCUUCCCUGAUGUGAGCGGAACUGCGUUGGGGGCCGUGGGCACAAUGGGAGCCAGCCUUGUUUCCCAGGAAAGGACCCCUGACCAGGGGCAUUGGAUUUCUCGCUUGGAUGACUGGGCCUAUUCGCAGUGCUGCGGGAAAUGCCAGAGGAAGAGCAGGGCUGGCGAGCUGAGGGUGGGACGUUCAACUUGGACACGUGGAGCUGGAAAUGCCUGGGGGAUACAUGUGUGCGGAUGUCUAGGAGGAGGGUGGAUAACAGAGUCUGGGCUCAGGAGCUAAGAGCAGAGUUGGGAGUCAUUAGCCAUGGAGGCUGAAACCUCGGAGAAUCAGGAUUCAUACACUAAGGCAGGAGAUUAUUCCCUCCGUUAACAGCAGUUGAAGAGUUCCUCUUCUCAGAACGGGGCUGUGGACAGAGCACUUUUCAUCUUCGAAGCUCUAGGUGGAGGGGAGUGGGAGCCAUGCUCCUGGGUUCAGUGGGCCUAGGAGAACAAGGAAACAGGGCUAUUUUUUAAAUGAGUGCCCAUGUCAUUAUAUGAUGUCUCUUGUCACACACACUCACUCCAAAGGAUCAUAGAGGAUGUAUUUUUAAAACUCCGGUGUGUGUAUUAAUUUACACAGAAUUAUCUGAUUAACUUCGAAGGCUGUUGACUUGAGCAUGAAGAUUCCCAAGUAAAAGCAGAAAGAAAAUGCUCAGUGUAAUUGAGAACACAAGGAGAAUUUCCUUCCAGUGAAGUUUCAAAAAGACAAAGGAAGAAGGAGCCUCUGAUUACAUAAUUCCUACCUGGGAAAGUAAAAAUCUUUGAUUAUCUAUUUAUGGCCUGCCAUACUCAGGGCCCAGAGGAAAUCAGACAAGCCUGAAAGAAACUAAUUUCCACCACUUCUCCUUUUCCUCUCUCUUGGUUUGUGGCCUCAUAACCUUGAGGAGCUGGCCUGUGUGUGCUUCUGCAUGGCAUGAGGUCCACUUCCACAGAUCUGCUGAGGAGCAGGCCCUGCUGGCCAGGGAGAGACGGAGGUAAAGGCAAAGAGGUGGUGAAGCCAUCACCUAAAGGGAACAGGACUGAGUCAACCUUGCCAGCCGAGGGGAUUCUUACAGACCUAAUGUUUUCCUAAGAGUUCUUGGGGCAAAUAAGGAGAAAAAGAUGAGGCUGUCUGAAGUUUUAGAGGAAGUAAGGGGUAAUCAAGGUUAGGGGCAUGCCCAGUCUUUGGAAUUUUUGCCUUGGUUUUCCUUGGGCCCGCUCCUGGCCUAUAAGGUGUCUGUGUGCAACUUAUAAAAGGUGACCCCACUACCCCUGGCCCCUGAUGCUGGGCAAGCCUGAGGCUGGGACUGUUGGCGGGGUGAGGGAGAGUAGGCCCCCACUGGCCCUCUUGGGUGAGCCUAGGGCAGAGCACAGCUGCACAUCUGGCCCCCCCAGGUCCUGUGUGUCCUACUCAUUAAUUUAUAGAAGAGCAGCAUCUGGAAAGCGGGUGCCGUAGAAAACCCGAUGAUGUGGCAGGGUUCACCUAAACUUAAUGCAUGUCCGUCUCAUACACCGAUUUGUCCUUUUCCUUGGACAAACACUGUCUCAGUAGGCCUGGGGACGUCUGUCUUUUCAUGAACUCUCCUCUCCCCUGGAUUUAAUUCUAUAAGGGAUCCUCUAGGAGGCACUUUGAAAAACUGCAGCCACGCUUUGAGCUGCUAGGCUUCCACUGAAAAAAUGAUUACUUCGAUGUUCUAAAUGGAACUGGAGAUCAAAUCAAUAAGAUCUAGGAAAUCCAUUAAAAAAAAAUGCAACAUGGUCCCUUAUCUAAUAUAAGAAUGAGAUUUUCAUGAGAUGUCUUUGAAAGAGAAAAAUGCAUGUGCAUAAAUACACAACAUCUGUAUAAACUAAAACAAUUAUCUUUCCUGAUUUGAAGGAAGCAUAUAAUGUAGGUGGAGGAGAGAUUUGUAUGUUUACCUCUGAACCUGAUUUGAUUUUAAUAUCAUUCUGUCAUUUGUGAACAGUUCCCAAGCGCCUUGUCAGGAAGAGUCGCUUAUUAAGCCACUGAAAGUAUCUUAUAAAAAUAGCAGACAAUCUAAACUGUGACUCAUUCCACGAAACCCCAGUGGCCCCAGCACGACUAGCUUCUGCACCGACUUAGUUGUGCAAACAUGUGCCAGCAUCCUUUCCAUGGCAGAUUCAGUGCUGACCUCAGAGUGAAGGAAGAUUCAUAAGACAUAGCCUGAUCUGAAAGGAGUUCACAACCCAGCAGGGAGGGAGCAAAAUACUAUACAAGAUAAGGUUAAACCAUUUGAGAUCAGUUAGAAGGGAUUGCUCUGAAGUCGUAUUGAUGGAGUACAGGUCUGUGUAGAGUGUGUUAGGAACAGAGAAGAGGGGAAACUGACCCAACCUAGGGGUGCUGGGGGAUUGUCAAGACAGAGACAUUUGAACAGUGUCUUGAAGGAUACGUAAGAGUUUGAAAGUGGCAAGGGGAGUCUUUUCAGCAGAAGAGCAGCACACGCAAAGGUAUGGAGCUAUGACUUUGCACAGCUAAUAAAGGAACAGCAAAGAGCUCUCCAUCGCUAGACAGCAAGGUGUAUGUGAAACUGACAAAGGAUGAAACUGGGGAAAAAAGCAGGCCAGACUCAGUGUGAAGGUGAGCCCUGAAGGUUUUCAGGCUGAGAAAGGCAUGAGCAGAUUGGUGUUUUAGAGGGAUUCAUCUGAUGGCCUCUGAUUUGCAGAAUAGACCUCUCAAUGAGAUCCACCUUAAGUGUGAUCCAUGGUGUGGUGGUGUUUUUCUCACUGAUUCAGAAAAUUAAUCCAUUUCCUAGAGUUCUUGGCUUAGACUCAGGAAGUGUUUAUACCCUAGAACAGAGGUCUGCAAACUAUGGCUCAUGGGCCAUAUCUGGCCCACCAGCUGUUUUUGUAAAUAAGGUUUUAUUGGCACAUAGCCACAUCAUUCCAUCCAGUAUCGUCUGUGGCUGCUUUCGCAUUCUGGCUGAUUUCGAAGCUGAGUUGAGUAGUUGCAACAAAGACUGUAUGACUACAAGGCCUGAAAUACUUACGAUUUGGUCCUUUACAGAAAAAGUUUGCUGACCCUUGCCCUUUGGUUCUUUGAAGUCUUUGCCAUCUUUCUCAUCAGAUGGGAAACUUCAGAGACAACCUUGAAGUUUAGCCUCAUUACCUUUUGUACUGCUUGCUUCCGCCUUUAUCAAGUGGCCCAAUUCAGUUGCUCUCUUCAAGCCGGUAGUGAGAAACACAGGGGAGAACCACGUACGAAAGAGGCCAUAAGACAGCGAGCACAAGGAGCCAGGCAAGUCUGGUCAAACCACUUCAUUUCUUCUCUACUGGAGUCCCUGCAUAUGAGAUCAACAGCCUGCCACCGACACCAAGCAUAUUGAGGGCAGCAGAGUUCGGAAACCCCUCACCAGGUCCGCUUGGGCAGGGAGGAACUGAUUAGGUGGUUCUGGUAAUAGACCAACACUGGCCCCCUAAAUGUACAGAUUAAUGGGCUGACAUCAAUCUUAGGGAGAUCUUUAACAUGUUCCUGUAAGAUUCCGGACUUACUCCUGUCCUCUUCAGCAUUUCUAUUGGAACACAUAAAUCAGAAGCCGUGUUAUCAAUGUGGAGUUUCCCCCUAUCUGGGGGAAGUGGGACAGCUAAUAACUGGCAUUGCUUUGUCAGCAUCAGUGUUUCAAAAAAUUCUUGAUGAGGUAGAGCAGUGUCCAAACUCUGCUCUCUUCCAGAGGGACAGUUUCUCCUAAGUGAGGAAUGUGAGUCUUAGAAGGUCCACCCCUAACAUCCAUGGGCCCUGGGGCAAGAGUAUAAACGGAGGCCAGCACACCAUAUGUCCAAAUACUUAGAAGUUAUAAAUCAAGCUAACAAACUGCUAGACAAGACGUAUUCUCUCCUCCUACCUUGACAAAUAUACCUUCUUCACCACCUAGAAGCCCAGAUUCAAAUUCAGAAUUCUCUGACUACUCGGAAUCUUAAAGCUGGAACAUGGCGGCUUGGAGAGAGCCAGUCCUCACCUGGCGCUCCCAGCUCUUGACCCACCUUUUUACUUUCUGACCUGCUCUUGGGCUCCUCAGUCACUUCUCUCCAGUUGCUUUCUCUUUACUGCUUCACCAGUGAGAGCUAUCAUUUGGUGCCAUUCAUCCGGUUCUGCCCUCUGGCUUCUAUGCUUAAACCCAAUUCCUACUUCCACCACUGAUUCAUUGGUUUCCAGUCUCUUCAGGUAACCCCCGGUUUAGUGCUUACAUUUGGUAUAUCCCCAGGCAAUCGUGUCCCUGAUGGAUUCUCCCCAUGGCUAGGAAACAGAACCUGGCCAACUCUCACCCACCUUCCAGCUCCUGUUCCCUCUCCCCAACUCCCACCGGUGCCAAUGUCUCCUGACCUUAAUUACAAAGAAUGAACACAUACUUCAGCAAAUUUGGGGCAGCCAGGGGUGGUAGGUAGUCCCACCCAGAAGCAAUAUAUUUCUUUGAAUGCUAGUGUUUUUAUCUUCAAAGGGUCACAUGCUUUAAGAAAAGUUUUAAUCACUGAGAUAUGAUUUAUGUAUAACAUACAUUCAAAAAAGUACACAAAACAUAAAUAUACAGCUUAACGAAUUAUCACAAGGCAUAUGACCACCAGGUAAACAAAUGCCCAGAAGCCCCCCACCCUCUGUGCCUCACUGUCUUCUCCCCAAGGGAAACCAACCACUAUUCUGACUGCUGAUGCUAUUGUUCAGUUUUGCCUGGUUUUGGAGUUUUUGUAAACGGAAUCAAACACUGCUAAUUCCUUUGCAUCCAGCUUCUUUCACGCAACAUAUCUGUGAGAUUUAUCUAUGAUGUUUUGUGUAGUUCUAGUCCACUCGUUUUCAUUGCUGUGUGUCCAUCAUAUGAGUACACCACAAUUUAUUUAUACAUUUCAUAGUCGAUGGGCACUUAGGCUGUCUCCAGUUGUUGAUUAUUAUGUCUAAUACUAAACAUUCUUGUAAAUAUCUAUUGGUGUACCUGAGCACGAAUUUGGGACUGUAUCUAUCUCAAAGUCUGUUGCUGUAUCGUGGGUUUUGCAUAUUUCAACUUAGUCGAUACCUCCAAAGAGUUUUCCAGAGUGGUUGAACCAAUCUGUACUCCCACCUUCAGUGUCUGUGGUUUCUUGUGGCUCCACAUUUUCAUAGGGUUUUUCUUUUAUUCUUCUCCAUGAUAUAUCCAUGUUUGUUUCCAUGUUGAAAAAUGUUACACAUUUUUUUCCAAAAAGGGGAAAUGAUGCUUCUGAAAGGCCUACAAAGUUUAUCGUGAGGCUUCACUUGUCCCAUGUUGGAGGAGCUCAGCUGUAUAUUAACCAAGCUGACCUCUAGAAGGUUCUUUGCUCCAUCAUGACCUUUUGGCCUUUUACCAAACAGUUUCAUAUUCAGGGAACAGCUUCUCUCCUCUGUCUGGCAUAGAACCUGCAUUAUAUUGACUGAAUAUGAAGAGAUCCACCACUGACCUUUGAUCCGUUUUGCCAAGACAGCAUUUAUCUGAAUAAUCUUAUUUUGACUACAGGUUCAUCUAUUUGUUGCUUAGAUCAACCUCUGUGUCAUUUCGAGGAAACAGACCAUGUACUUCUUUAAUAUACAACUCCAUCACCUGCAAGAAGUCUUGGGACCCCAUGGGGAGUAAUCAGUAUUUGCUAACCGACUGACUGCUCAGUGUAGCCUAAAAUCCAUCUUUAUUUUUAUAUGAUAGUUUAAGUGAUUUAAUGAGUGGCUGUCACUGACAAGGCACUUGGGGACUGUGCAUAAAAUGACACAAUAAUAUAAAAAUAAAGCUUUGCUCAGAGACUAAUACACAGAACUGCCUUCCGUGUACACAUUACUCUUUCUCCUAGAGGAAACAAUUCUUCCUUUGGUCAAGUGCCGUUGUUUUAUUGACAGAAAUAAGUAAAUCCACAUUUCCUUCUGCUGCCUUAUUUGAAUGCUUACGAAAUCAGGACUCAUAUAUAAUGUUCAUUUCAGCAAUGAAUAUGCAGAAAGUGCUGCAUCUCUUUAUUUAGGGAUUUUAAACAUUGCAGUCAUGUUCAUCGUGGUGACUGUAGGCUUUUAUAUCUAAGUCAGACUCAUUUCUCAAAGUCAUAUUUAAAUAUCUCAAACAGUAGUGUUGGCCUCUUGGGUAUUACACAACAUACAACCAAAGAAGGAAGGUUAACCUCGCCAAAAAAAGUAUAAAGAAAUGGUGCAGCUGUGGAUAUUUCAUGUUUAGGAAGCAGUGGGAUCAGGCAAAAGAAGAACAGAGAAUUCUAGGGGAGCCAAGCUCGCAAUGAGAAUCUGGAUGUGGGCUUCAUCUUAGAGGAGAGCGUGGGAGUUCUUCUCUAACUUAAUGAUGCUCUGAGUGAGGUAGACAAUUUUUUCUCAGUUGCAUGUUUUGUAGGCAAGGUUUCUCUUCUCCUCCUUUCAAUAAUUUAAAUGCCAAAUACUGACAAUCCAGAUGGUGACCUGGACCUAAGCGCACACGUGGUUUCACAGCCAUGGCUUUGCUCCUGAGUUUAGGUUUUAGGAUAGUUUCAUUCAUUCAUUGAUUUAUUCAUUUGUCCUUUUAUUCAUUUGUUUAGUUAAGUGGUCAGGCAACAAAUACCUACCCAGCACCUACCACAUUGCAAGUGUUGUGUUUGGUGCUCAGAGUACAAUGACGCGUCCUACUCAGACAUUUUUCAAAUAAUCACACAAAUAAUAGUAAAAUUGCAUCUGUGUGAGUGCUCUAAAGGAAGAAAGUGGUACGAUGAAAAUGUGUAUUAGAAGAUCAGGGAGGCCUGGGAUAUGUCCUUGAGGAAGUCAUGACUGGGCUGAUAUCUGUUAAAUGAGCAGGUGAAUCAACUAGGUGAAAUGGGGGGAGGGGAGGAAAUGAGAGGCUUGUGCAAAGGGCCUGUGGUAGGAGAGAGUAUGACUUACAUGUGGAUGAGCAUGAAGGUCAGUGCAGGAGGAGUGGAGAGAGCAAAGGGUGUGCGCAGGACCUUCUUCACGCUAAAGGAGCUUUGUCCUUAUCUUAAGAGCAAAAUUGACACAUGGGGAAGAACAGGUGGACAGGAAGGGAUCCAAUGUCACAGUGUGGGUUGUGGGACUCAGAGGCACACCAGGAAGAAGGUUUUAGAACUUGCCUUUACACAGUCCCUAGUCAGCAGCUUGACUCAAUUACAGGUAUCCCCCAACAGCUGUUAGCUGUCGGGCAGGCUGGUUUCCCAGGUCUGAGUGGAUAAUAGAGAGGAUGCUCAGGGGUGGCAGAGGGACACGCUCCAGUGGUCCGGAUCUGCUCUCUCCUCUGUGCACAAUGAGCCAUUUGGGCAGGAAGCCACGCUUGCUGCUUGCAGAUCUGAAUGUGUUUAGCUGUAACGGUCUGACAGGGAAGACUGGUUGCAACUUUAAUAGAACCCAAGGCACCCACCCAACUGGCAUAAUCUCUCCCCUGAAAGGUAACGUGUGGCCUUUGUGUGCUGGGGCUUCAGUUUACAACCGAGAUUAAAUAUAGACAAAUUCAAAAUAUAAAUGUUCUUGAUUCAAUUUAUAAUGCUAAUAAUAAAACACAUCGUAAUAGCAUUUUCAAACUGCAGGUAUUCAACAUUUGGAGAGUCAAAAGAUCUGAAAAAAUAUUUUUGGGUCAAGCUAUUGUAAUGCAUAACAUACCAAGACAGCAAUAAAUCUUGGUGGGGCAGAAUUCUGGGCGGGGAGGAAGGAAGGGGAAAAGGAACAGUUUCCUGAGUGUCGACUGUGAUUGUCACAGUGCGGGGUUUCUCAGCACUACUGACAUUUUGGGCCGGAUCAUUCUUUGUUUGGCAGGCUGUCCUGUGCAUUGUAUGAUGUUUCACAGCGUCCCUGGCCUCUGCCCAGUGGAUGCCGAUAGCACACCACCCCCACUCCCAUUUGUGACAACCCAAAACGUCUCUAGACAUUACCAAAUGUCCCCUGGGGGGGCAAAAUCCACCCCGCCACUUUUGAACUGUUCUAAUAGAGGAUCCAUAACUAAUAAACCUGGUGUGCAGAGUUUGAUGAAAUAAAAACAAAAACUGCCAAUAAUUUGAAGAUUAAUCUUACAUAAAUUUUUAAAAAAUUUUUCUAUAGAAUGUGAUUAGAGGUUUUUCCAACCAAGAUCACUUUUCCAUCUCAAACCAUUUGGACACAAAGCAUGUGUAUGAAAAUCACCAUACUCUAGCUUCCCUCAAAACUCUCAGUAAAAGGCAGAUCCUUUUCUAUUCAUUGAGGGACAUUGAGUUUAUGGUCUGCAAGUCAACUUUGAAUUUAAAGUCUGAAAUGCAAAACUGGCUUUCCCAUUUCUUCCUCUGCAGAGAAGCAAACAAGGAACCGAUUCUUUGCUUUCUGUGCUCUUGAGACUUUAAAUAUUUCUCCCCAUCUCAGUUUUGGUGGGAGAUGGGAGGGUAUUACAAGCUAUAAUGCAAUCAUUUGGAUGCUUAACUGCAGACGAGAAGAAUUGGGAAUGCUUUGUAAAAUUUCCCAAAAGAGCGAAAUGCUCUGUCAGGGGUCCAAUGCCCCCAUCCUCUGCUUGGACAAACAUCUCUGUCCAGCUGGGGCUGCCACAACGGACCAGACGGAGGAUGUUUUGGCUUCGGCUUCUUUACCAUGCUGUACGUGAGUGACCUUGAAAAUUGGCCAAUUCUCCUUGCAUCUCCACUGUCCUUUUUCUGGAAAUCAAAAUAAAAGCAGUGGCUGAAUCCCUCACUGGAUUGUUGUGAGGUUUAAUGAGAUCACAGUUGGGAGAUCUGGUGUUAGCAUUUGAGGAAUGUUAGUUCUCACCUUGAAGCUGCUGGGCUUUCUCGGUAUUUUGCCAAUUUUUUUUGUUAAAUUGGGUAGGUAGGCAGAUGUUUCUUUUAUAUAAUUGGAGAGGCAGGAUUUAGAAAUAUCACAGAAGUACCUGUUAACCACCCUGAAUUUAAAUCUGGUGAGUUGAGAUUAGGUAUAGACAAGUUUAAACUUACGUAUAUAUAAAAUAUGUAAAUUAUAUAAACUUAUUGUAUAUACAAAAUAAAUUUAAACUCAUCUCUAAUAUAUAUAGUUGUUUGCUGUAUAUGUGUAACACAUAAAGUAGAUUCAAACUAUACAUAUAUAAUAGAUAUAGGAAAAUAUAUAUAGGGUGAAUAAUAAUAGCAUGCUACCUAAAAUAUUAAUAAUACUCUGGCUUACAUGAUUUGAAAAAGCUCUUGGUAUUUUAGAUUAAAAGGUAUAAGCUAUGUCUACUAAAAACGUGAAUGGAGUUAGAAAAACCUAGUUGGUCCGAGUAUCAGAAAGCCCAGGACAGAAGUCACCCCAGGCAGCAUGCAUGUUUCUCUCAGGGAGGAGAAUUUACCUACAGUCCCUGAAGUAAUAUGGAGAGAGGGCUUGUUUUGUUUUGUGGUCUGUGCUGCCGGAAGUAGGAGGAUUAGUCAGAAAAAUGUUGGUCUGUUUAUAUUAAGGCUGAAGACUGAUCCCUGGCUAAUACUGAAAUUAACCAGCUAAACUUGGGCUGGUCCAAGGGGGAAAGUAAGUAAUGAAAUAAGAACGACGUCUUUGAAACUGGAGCAUGAUUUUGGGACAGUCCAGUGGCAGCAGCGUGGCUGUCUUGUGGAAGAGGGUGGGAGAAGACCUGGGAGGUUUUUCAGUCCUGACACUCAGAAGUGUGUGCCCUGAACAGGAAGAUCUUCAACCCUGUCCAAAAUGAUCCUAAUCACCCCACAUUUGUAAAGCUUGCAAAGCACGGCCCCAGCCACCAUUUCACUUAAUCCUCAGAACAAUCCUGAGUGGCAGUCAGCAUUUUCAAUGGAUAAAGCUGGCUCAGAAGGGUCAAGGGACUUGCUCAAACACCCUUGAUUGGGAAUUGGUGGAGAACCAAUUCUAUCCUACUUCCCUUAAAAAAAGAAAAAAGAAAAAAGAAAAAGAGGAAGACAAUUUUCCUUAAAAAAAAAAAAAGGUAAAAUAAAAUGAAAAUUGAAAGCAGUCGGGAUUCUAGGUGGAGUUGGGAAUCAGUAGAGUGGUUUUGUUGGCUUUUAAAAAAAAGUUUCUCUCCCUUCAACUCACCACCUCUCCCUUUUUUAUUUUAAUUUCUGGCUAUGGGUCUUGGGGUAAGGUCAUCUUUCAUUUUUAAAAGGUAAGAAAAACCUGUCUGCUUGUUAAUCACCAUCUCUCUGCCACACUGAAAAUUCCAGUAGGUUAGUCGGCCAAAUAUCGACAUUAGCUGCUGGGCGAUGUGUCACCAGGCAAUAUGUACAUGAACAGAUGCACACUGUGGUUUUAAUUACCAUGAUCUCUCCAAGGACCCGUCCAUCCUCCUCCGUGUGUACAUUCCAAUUUACUAGUUUGAAGAUGCGCUGAACGGAAAUCUGUUCCUGUAAUUGACCAAGAGGUCUUAGCCCACCAAGGCACAAACCUUCUGAUGAGAAUGUGGCCGCUCUACUCUGCAGCUCCACCCACUGAACCUAAGCAGCUGCCACUUUCACUUCUUCUUCUUCUCUUUUUUUAUUUUCUAAGUUUUUGUUUGUUUUUGCCCUUCACAGAUUUAACAGAUACAUUUAUACUUUCUGGGUGUUUAAACCACUUGUGUUAAAGGUAUUUUUUUUCAUGGUGUCCUGUCAAGACAGUGAGGAUACAAUUUUAGGAAGUCAAAAUAUGUUUAAACACAACUUAGUAAAUGUAAUUACUCAUCAUUUGGCAUUUGACUUUUGCAAUUUCAUUUUAUUUAAUGCCAUAAUUGGUGUUCUUGAUUUGGAACUAUUCCUAACUUUUAUUUUUGUCUUGAAGGCAAUACAUAUUUUUUAAACGUACCUCAUUUGGCUUUCUUAUAAUAACAUUCUUCCUCAAAACAUCCUUGAUUUCUAUAGGGGAACAGCCUGGUGGUGUAGUGGUUAAGUUCGGCAGGCUCUGCUUUGGCUGCCCAGGUUCGUGGGUUUGAGUCCUGACUUAUGCCACUCAUCAGCCACGCUGUGGUGGCGACACACAUACAAAUCAGAG